GGAUGUGAGGGUGAUCUGGCUGUGGCAUCUAUUACUCCAUUGACUGUCAGGGUCGAUUCAGCUGAUCUGGCUGACUAAGUGGAUGUCCCUUUUCUCCCUCAUCGCUCCAUGUGCAUGAGUCUCGAAGCUGUGUACUUGGUCAAAGAGGACAACCAUCCCUACUAGAGGAGGACCAUUCUUUGGUCAACGAUAUACGAGUAACUGCGCUCCACUGCUAGGAGUUCCAAACAAGCUCUCAGGUCCAAAAUGCUGAGAUUAUAGGUAGGAGCCAUUGU
rnacentral:snRNA from 1 species